rnacentral:rRNA from 1 species
GCCCUACGGGACGCAGCAGUGAGGAAUAUUGGUCAAUGGUCGGGAGACUGAACCAGCCAAGCCGCGUGAGGGAUGAAGGUACAGAGUAUCGUAAACCUCUUUUGUCAGGGAACAAAGGCGGGGACGUGUCCCCGGAUGAGUGUACCUGAAGAAAAAGCAUCGGCUAACUCCGUGCCAGCAGCCGCGGUAAUACGGAGGAUGCGAGCGUUAUCCGGAUUUAUUGGGUUUAAAGGGUGCGUAGGUGGUUAAUUAAGUCAGCGGUGAAAGUUUGCGGCUCAACCGUAAAAUUGCAGUUGAAACUGGCA